AUUUGGUCCUUCUUGGUUAGGAGAACAGAGAUGGACUUUUGGUCCUCUAAACUCCAGAAACAAUCAUCAACUUUCACAGGUCGAUAUAGUUCUCCAUCAAUUAUUGGAGGCUGUCCCUUUAAUCCAACUUUAAUACGGUUCCUUGAUAUGUCACAAACAAUUAACCUUGAUUUGGUUCCAGGAGGCACAGGAAUAUUAACAUUUACUUCCUGUAGUGAUUGACCCCAUGAGUAGUUCUCAAGGUCAAGGCCAUUGUUGUUGUUAGGAGCUGCAGGACCUUGAGUACCAUUCUUGUCCACCUCCUUAGCCUCCUUCAUAACUUCUUUCCCUUUUGCCUCUUUAACCUCUUCCUUCUUUGCAGCAGCAACUGGAACAUCCUCCUUGACCUUCUUUCCCGCCGCCUUUGAGCUUGAUGCUUCUGCUUCCACUUUCCUCUUGCGCUCCUCAGUCAACAGCUUGUCUUUCACCAUACGAACAACAGCAUUGACAUCAUUAAUCAAUGAAUCACUCUUGAAAAGAUCAGAUUCCCGUCCGACGAACUCGAACGCGGCUUGAAGAAACCCUAGAGGAUCAGCAGGAUCAAGCACGGCCUUAAAGGGCUUUGACGCCGCCGCCGCCGCCGAUGGUUUGCUAUCUUGCUCCUCGAAAUCAGAAAUAAUCGCCAUUGGAUUGAUCAAGAAAAUGAGGAUUAGGGUUUUGAUGGAUUGAAGUAUAUGAAGAGAACAGAAUGAAACCCAAGUGUAGAGACUUCUUGUGUUCAAAUGUAAGAG
rnacentral:misc_RNA from 1 species